rnacentral:rRNA from 1 species
GAUGAACGCUGGCGGCGUGCCUAAUACAUGCAAGUCGAGCGAACGGACGAGAAGCUUGCUUUUCUGAUGUUAGCGGCGGACGGGUGAGUAACACGUGGAUAACCUACCUAUAAGACUGGGAUAACUUCGGGAAACCGGAGCUAAUACCGGAUAAUAUUUUGAACCGCAUGGUUCAAAAGUGAAAGACGGUCUUGCUGUCACUUAUAGAUGGAUCCGCGCUGCAUUAGCUAGUUGGUAAGGUAACGGCUUACCAAGGCAACGAUGCAUAGCCGACCUGAGAGGGUGAUCGGCCACACUGGAACUGAGACACGGUCCAGACUCCUACGGGAGGCAGCAGUAGGGAAUCUUCCGCAAUGGGCGAAAGCCUGACGGAGCAACGCCGCGUGAGUGAUGAAGGUCUUCGGAUCGUAAAACUCUGUUAUUAGGGAAGAACAUAUGUGUAAGUAACCGUGCACAUCUUGACGGUACCUAAUCAGAAAGCCACGGCUAACUACGUG